AGACGUGGUUAGGUUAUGAGUAAUUCUAGUAGCAGAGCCAGGGAGCUGGCAGUUCUUAGGUUGAGACUGUUACCAAUUGUCCAGAAUAGUGGGAGAGGAACGGGGAUACUUGAUGCAAAAGCCUCUGUCAGCUGGGGAGCUGCUUACCAACCCAGCAAGGCAUAUGAUGAUGUCCACUCUGGGAGGUCAGUGCAGACACUCCUGAAGUUGCAGCCUCGCUGUAUUCCUGCACACACAUGCACGCGCGCACACACACACACACACACACACACACACACACACCCCAGCUGCAUGCUAUGGUGAGGAAAGGGGGGUGCGAGGCCUCAAGGAUUGGUUUGGAUAAAGGGUGCCCAUUCCUGCUAGUGUUUCUUUUCUCUUUGCUGAGUGGACUGUAGCCCGCCAGGCUUCUCCGUCCAUGGGAUUCUCCAGGCAAGAAUAACUGGAGUUGAGUGGACUGGAUCCGGCCAGGCUCCUCUGCCCAUUGGAUUCUCCAGGCAAGAAUAACGAGUUGAAUAGACCGUAGCCUGCCAGGCUUCUCCGUCCCUGGGACUCUCCCGGGAAGAACACUGGAGCGGGCUGCUGGGCCACCUCGGCGGUCCCGGGAAGGAGGCUCUGGGGGCCGCGGUCAACCCGAGCCCGCCGCGCCGUCGCCGGCGUCCAGCAGGGGGCGCUGCACCCCGGCCCGCCGGCCCUCUCUCCCCCGCCGAGGCCGCCGCGACGCCGGCCAGUCGGGCCGCGGGUCCGCGCGCGCACGUCCUCGGGCGGCCGCCGUGGCCAACGCGCACGGUGACACGCCGGCUGGACGAGGCCCUUUGUCAGAAGCCGCGGGGACCUGGCGUUUCCGCACGACGGGAAAAACAAAGGGCUUCUGCCUGCCUGGCCGGGGUUGACAUUGGCUCACCCUCUAACCCCCGGGCGUUUGCAGGCAGAAUGAGUUCGUGCGAGACCACAGGACCUUGCCAUGAGUCACUCACUUUCUGUAAAUCCGAGUCAACAGCACACUUCCCCUCACUUUGGGCCAUUGCUUGAAGUUUUAGGUCACCGGGUGCUGUUGGCGUUAACAAGAGACUCGAAUAUUUCGUAAGUCUUUUUUUUUUUUUAAAGGCAAAACCAACUUGGGGGGCAGAUUUGCAGUUGGAGAGUUUUGGUCGCUCUUAGCUCCCCAAAUAGGUUGGCCUUAUAUGUUAUUUACGUGUUUCAGAAGUGUGCCAUGUAAAAAUUCAAGGGAAAGUUGCAAAAUGUUUUCUGGCAGGAGGCCCAGGAGAGGUUAUUCAGGGAGAUAAGGAUGACUGGAUCAGGCGUGGGAGCAAGACUCGUAGGUGAGGAAACCGGCCCAGAGCUGCUGCUGCUUUUUUUUUUUUACACCUAGAAAAAAAAAUGUAGACACAUGGAGUUGAUCUGUUCUGAGGAUUAUGGGCAAAUUUUGAUAUUCUGGGAAACAGACAAGAUGGGAUUAAAAGUAAAGAGACAAGCAAGAGGCCUGGGAGGGUUCGGAAGGGUUUGAGCCAGUGAACAAGGAGCCUGAAUAAUACCAUCAAGUGGAGCACCUGAAGAGGAUUAACUUGGAAGGCGUUGGAGGCUCGGGGAAAGCUUUUCAUUGGCCUCUGGCCUGGAAUCCACUGUACAUCGGGGAGCGUCCCUGGGCCCUGCACACGUGUUUCCCUUGCCAGCCUCCUCUUUACCACAUUUAGGGGGAAAUACGUCCCCAAGAGAGUAUGAGGUGGCGCUAGUGAUUAAGAAUCUGCUUGCCAAUGCAGGAGAUGUGGGUUCGAUCCUUUGGUCUGGAAGAUCCUCUGGAGGAGGAAAUGGCAACCCACUCCGGUAUUCUUGCCUGGAUAAUUCCACGGACAGGGGAGCCUGGCAGGCUGCAGUCCAUACGGCUGCAGAGAGUUGGAUGUGACUAAGCACACAUAUCCCCAAGAAGUUCCCUGCACCCUCAUUCCUAACUUUUAGCUAAUUGCUGCCCAUCCCACCUCCCCGGACUUUUUUCUAUUGAUAUCCAAUCCCCUUUCUCACCUCGUGAAAUCUCAAAUCUGAUUGUCUCCUGAGAGUUCUCCUACAGAAAUCUCUGUGCCUGGUGAAAUUUUUGUGCUUUUUUUUUGUUUUUGUAUGUACUAUUAUUAUUAUUUUUAAAAUCCUUUUAUGGUUUUAUUGAGAUAAAGGAUCUUUGGGGACCAGAGAAGGUAGGAAACAGUUUGUGGUCUUUCCUAAGCUCCCUGUUCCUUCCAGGCCUCACGGUGGUGGGGUCUCCAGCUGCGCUGCUGACCUCUUGCUUUGGUGGGAGGGGGCUGAUGGGAGGGACGUGAGGACACACGCGGAGCAUCUUUAGACACAAGGAUCUGGACGUGUCCGGUAAGUGAGCAAACAAAGAAAUAACCCCAGAUAAUUAGAAAACCAAGUCCAGCAGAGUUUAGCCUCAACCAACUAAACUCACCCCCAAACCCAUCACUCGAGGCACACGGGAAGAGUGAUGCUCCUGUGUGUAAUAUAUUCUCAUGAAUGUAUGCAACCUUAUGAGCAAUUCUUGGCUUGUAAUAUGAAUUCUACCCUUUUCUUCUUUGCUCAGAGAAGCAUACUGGGAUUGAAGAAAAUGAAAGGAUUUGCAUUCUUUCUGAGUGUGUGUGUAUGUGAAUUUUAUAUAUGUAUUUUAUGUGAGAGGGGGAAAUAAUGCCGACUGACACUUGGCUAAAUAAUAGGUUGUAAUUGAUCCCAGUACAUCAGGGCAGUAGAGAACAGUAAGGCCACACACACAUAUGUACAUGCACACACACAGGUUGUCUAUUCUGAGUAAUUUUGGAAAUGGGGAAACGGAAAUUCCUAGAGAACUUAAGUGAACCUCUCGAGACUGUAGCAUGUCAGAGGUGCAACUGAGUCUUCCAGUUCGUGCCUUUAAACUUCUGUCUUUUGUCCUUUGUGAGGUGCCUGGGGAUGACCAGGUGCCUGUCUGAUUCGU